rnacentral:rRNA from 1 species
UACGGAGGGGGCGAGCGUUGUCCGAAGUUACUGGGCGUAAAGGGUGCGUAGGCGGUUGGGUAAGUCUGACGUGAAAUCUCCGAGCCUAACUCGGAAACUGCGUUGGAUACUAUCCGGCUAGAGGAAUGGAGGGGAGACUGGAAUACUUGGUGUAGCAGUGAAAUGCGUAGAUAUCAAGUGGAACACCAGUGGCGAAGGCGAGUCUCUGGACAUUUCCUGACGCUGAGGCACGAAAGCCAGGGGAGCGAACGGG